UACAGAGGUCCCAAGCGUUGUUCGGAUUUACUGGGCGUAAAGGGAGCGUAGGUGGCAUUCUAAGUCUGAUGUGAAAGCUCUGAGCUUAACUCAGAAAUGGCAUUAGAAACUAGUUUGCUUGAGGAUUGGAGGGGAGAUUGGAAUUCUUGGUGUAGCAGUGAAAUGCGUAGAUAUCAAGAGGAACACCAGUGGCGAAGGCGAAUCUCUGGACAAUUCCUGACACUGAUGCUCGAAAGCUAGGGGGGCAAACGGG
rnacentral:rRNA from 1 species